rnacentral:rRNA from 1 species
UACGAAGGGGGCUAGCGUUAAUCGGAAUUACUGGGCGUAAAGUGUGCGCAGGCGGCGUCGCAAGUCGAGUGUGAAAGCCCCGGGCUUAACUUGGGAAUUGCGCUCGAAACUACGAUGCUGGAGUAUGGCAGAGGAAGGUGGAAUUCCACGUGUAGCGGUGAAAUGCGUAGAGAUGUGGAGGAACACCGAUGGCGAAGGCAGCCUUCUGGGCCAAUACUGACGCUCAUGCACGAAAGCGUGGGGAGCAAACAGG